rnacentral:rRNA from 1 species
AGUGAACGCUGGCGGUAGGCCUAACACAUGCAAGUCGAACGGCAGCACAGUAAGAGCUUGCUCUUACGGGUGGCGAGUGGCGGACGGGUGAGGAAUACAUCGGAAUCUACUUUUUCGUGGGGGAUAACGUAGGGAAACUUACGCUAAUACCGCAUACGACCUACGGGUGAAAGCAGGGGAUCUUCGGACCUUGCGCGAUUGAAUGAGCCGAUGUCGGAUUAGCUAGUUGGCGGGGUAAAGGCCCACCAAGGCGACGAUCCGUAGCUGGUCUGAGAGGAUGAUCAGCCACACUGGAACUGAGACACGGUCCAGACUCCUACGGGAGGCAGCAGUGGGGAAUAUUGGACAAUGGGCGCAAGCCUGAUCCAGCCAUACCGCGUGGGUGAAGAAGGCCUUCGGGUUGUAAAGCCCUUUUGUUGGGAAGGAAAAGCAGCAGGUUAAUACCCCGCUGUUCUGACGGUACCCAAAGAAUAAGCACCGGCUAACUUCGCG